rnacentral:rRNA from 1 species
CCUACGGGAGGCAGCAGUGGGGAAUCUUGCGCAAUGGGCGAAAGCCUGACGCAGCAACGCCGCGUGCGGGAAGAAGGCUUUCGGGCUGUAAACCGCUUUCAGCAGGAACGAAAAUGACGGUACCUGCAGAAGAAGGAGCGGCCAACUAUGUGCCAGCAGCCGCGGUGAUACAUAGGCUUCAAGCGUUGUCCGGAUUUAUUGGGCGUAAAGAGUUCGUAGGCGGUCGAGUAAGUCGGGUGUGAAAAUUCUGGGCUCAACCCAGAGACGCCACCCGAUACUGCUUGACUUGAGUUCGAUAGGGGAGUGGGGAAUUCCUAGUGUAGCGGUGAAAUGCGCAGAUAUUAGGAGGAACACCGGUGGCGAAGGCGCCACUCUGGAUCGAUACUGACGCUGAGGAACGAAAGCAUGGGUAGCAAACAGGAUUAGAUACCCUGGUAGUCCAUGCCGUAAACGGUGGGCACUAGGUGUGGGUUUCUAUUAACGAAAUCCGCGCCGUCGCUAACGCAUUAAGUGCCCCGCCUGGGGAGUACGGUCGCAAGCUAAAACUCAAAGUANAAGUGACGUCGAGAGACGCGACGACGACGACGACGGAGGAGGAG